GAUGAACGCUGGCGGCGUGCCUAAUACAUGCAAGUCGAACGAACGGACGCGACGCUUGCUUUUUUGAUGUUAGCGGCGGACGUGUGAGUAACACGUGGAUAACCUCCUUAUCAGACUGGUAUAACUUCGGGAAACCGGAGCUAAUACCGGAUAAUAUUUUGAACCGCAUGGUUCAUAAGUGAAUGACGGUCUUUCUGUCACUUAUCGAUGGAUCCGCGCUGCAUUAGCUAGUUGGUAAGGUAACGGCUUACCACGGCAACGAUGCAUAGCCGACCUGAGAGGGGGGUCGGCCACAAGGGAACUGAGACAAGGUCAAGAAUACUACGGGAGGAGGCAGUAGGGAAUCUUACGCAAUGGGGGAAAACAUGACGGAGCAAGGCCGCGUGAGUGAUGAAGGUCUUCGGAGCGUAAAAAUCUGUUAUUAGGGAAGAACAGAUGUGGAAGUAACUGUGCACAGCUUGACGGUACCUAAUCAGAAAGCCACGGCUAACUACGUG
rnacentral:rRNA from 1 species